rnacentral:rRNA from 1 species
GUGUUAGGCAAAUCCGGCACUCUUAAGAUUGAGCUGUGAUGGGGAGAGGAAAUUGUUUCCUCGAGUCGUUGAUUUCACACUGCCGAGAAAAGCCUCUAGAUAGAUAACAGGUGCCCGUACCGCAAACCGACACAGGUAGUCAAGAUGAGAAUUCUAAGGUGAGCGAGCGAACUCUCGUUAAGGAACUCGGCAAAAUGACCCCGUAACUUCGGGAGAAGGGGUGCCCCUG